rnacentral:rRNA from 1 species
GAUGAACGCUAGCGGCAGGCUUAAUACAUGCAAGUCGAACGGCAGCACGGGUGCUUGCACCUGGUGGCGAGUGGCGAACGGGUGAGUAAUGCACCGGAACGUAUCCAAUAAUGGGGGAUAACGCACCGAAAGGUGUGCUAAUACCGCAUACGCCCUGAGGGGGAAAGCGGGGGAUCGUAAGACCUCGCGUUAAUGGAGCGGCCGAUGCCGGAUUAGCUAGUUGGUGAGGUAAAGGCUUACCAAGGCGACGAUCCGUAGCUGGUCUGAGAGGAUGAUCAGCCACACUGGGACUGAGACACGGCCCAGACUCCUACGGGAGGCAGCAGUGGGGAAUUUUGGACAAUGGGGGCAACCCUGAUCCAGCCAUGCCGCGUGAGUGAAGAAGGCCU